AAAUAAGAAACAAAAUAUUGUAUUUAGUUUCGACCUAAAAUUUUGAUGAUAAAUUUCAUCCUUAUUUA
rnacentral:tRNA from 1 species